rnacentral:rRNA from 1 species
UACGUAGGGGGCAAGCGUUGUCCGGAUUUAUUGGGCGUAAAGAGCUCGUAGGUGGUUUGGUAAGUCGGAUGUGAAAUCUCCAGGCUCAACCUGGAGGGGUCAUUCGAUACUGCCAUGACUAGAGGUCGGUAGGGGAGUGUGGAAUUCCUGGUGUAGCGGUGAAAUGCGCAGAUAUCAGGAGGAACACCGAUGGCGAAGGCAGGUCUCUGGGCCACUACUGACGCUGAGAAGCGAAAGCAUGGGGAGCGAACAGG